GAAGGUGGCCUGUGAGGGUUGCUGGAGGUAUCAGAAGUGCGAAUGCUGACAUAAGUAACGAUAAAGCGGGUGAAAAGCCCGCUCGCCGGAAGACCAAGGGUUCCUGUCCAACGUUAAUCGGGGCAGGGUGAGUCGACCCCUAAGGCGAGGCCGAAAGGCGUAGUCGAUGGGAAACGGGUUAAUAUUCCCGUACUUGGUGUUACUGCGAAGGGGGGACGGAGAAGGCUAUGUUGGCCGGGCGACGGUUGUCCCGGUUUAAGCGUGUAGGCUGGUUUUCCAGGCAAAUCCGGAAAAUCAAGGCUGAGGCGUGACGACGAGGCACUACGGUGCUGAAGCAACAAAUGCCCUGCUUCCAGGAAAAGCCUCUAAGCAUCAGGUAACACGAAAUCGUACCCCAAACCGACACAGGUGGUCAGGUAGAGAAUACCAAGGCGCUUGAGAGAACUCGGGUGAAGGAACUAGGCAAAAUGGUGCCGUAACUUCGGGAGAAGGCACGCUGAUAUGUAGGUGAAGCGGUUUACCCGUGGAGCUGAAAUCAGUCGAAGAUACCAGCUGGCUGCAACUGUUUAUUAAAAACACAGCACUGUGCAAACACGAAAGUGGACGUAUACGGUGUGACGCCUGCCCGGUGCCGGAAGGUUAAUUGAUGGGGUCAGCGCAAGCGAAGCUCCUGAUCGAAGCCCCGGUAAACGGCGGCCGUAACUAUAACGGUCCUAAGGUAGCGAAAUUCCUUGUCGGGUAAGUUCCGACCUGCACGAAUGGCGUAAUGAUGGCUAGGCUGUCUCCACCCGAGACUCAGUGAAAUUGAACUCGCUGUGAAGAUGCAGUGUACCCGCGGCAAGACGGAAAGACCCCGUGAACCUUUACUAUAGCUUGACACUGAACAUUGAGCCUUGAUGUGUAGGAUAGGUGGGAGGCUUUGAAGCGUGGACGCCAGUCUGCGUGGAGCCGACCUUGAAAUACCACCCUUUAAUGUUUGAUGUUCUAACGUGGACCCGUGA
rnacentral:rRNA from 1 species